rnacentral:rRNA from 1 species
AUUGAACGCUGGCGGCAGGCCUAACACAUGCAAGUCGAGCGGAUGAAGGGAGCUUGCUCCUGGAUUCAGCGGCGGACGGGUGAGCAAUGCCUAGGAAUCUGCCUGGUAGUGGGGGAUAACGUCCGGAAACGGGCGCUAAUACCGCAUACGUCCUGAGGGAGAAAGUGGGGGAUCUUCGGACCUCACGCUAUCAGAUGAGCCUAGGUCGGAUUAGCUAGUUGGUGGGGUAAAGGCCUACCAAGGCGACGAUCCGUAACUGGUCUGAGAGGAUGAUCAGUCACACUGGAACUGAGACACGGCCCAGACUCCUACGGGAGGCAGCAGUGGGGAAUAUUGGACAAUGGGCGAAAGCCUGAUCCAGCCAUGCCGCGUGUGUGAAGAAGGUCUUCGGAUUGUAAAGCACUUUAAGUUGGGAGGAAGGGCAGUAAGUUAAUACCUUGCUGUUUUGACGUUACCAACAGAAUAAGCACCGGCUAACUUCGU